GACGAACGCUGGCGGCGUGCCUAAUACAUGCAAGUCGAGCGGAUCUCUGAAGGAGCUUGCUCCUGAUGAGGUUAGCGGCGGACGGGUGAGUAACACGUAGGCAACCUGCCUGCAAGCCUGGGAUAACAUCCGGAAACGGAUGCUAAUACCGGAUACACAAUUGCCUCGCAUGAGGGAAUUGGGAAAGACGGAGCAAUCUGUCGCUUGCGGAUGGGCCUGCGGCGCAUUAGCUAGUUGGCGGGGUAAUGGCCCACCAAGUCGACGAGGCGUAGGCGACCUGGGGGGGUGGACGGCCCAACGGGGGCUCGUCCCCGGCCCAGACUCCUACGGGAGGCAGCAGUAGGUAAUCUUCCACAAUGGGCGAAAGCCUGAUGGGGCAACGCCGCGUGAGUGAGGAAGGCUUUCGGGUCGUAAAGCUCUGUUGCCAGGGAAGAACGCCUAGGAGAGUAACUGCUCUUAGGGUGACGGUACCUGAGAAGAAAGCCCCGGCUAACUACGUGCCAGCCGCCGCGGUAAGAC
rnacentral:rRNA from 1 species